GCUCCAGUUAGGAACGACAGUGACUGUGUACGCCUUCAAAUGCCUAGAUACCUAGAUCAAAUUUCCAUCUUCAUGUACCGCGUACUCGCAUCAUUGAUAGCCAGGGACACCUCGAUUUUAGUAUGUCUACAUCUCCGUUCAAGGAGAAAUUGCUUCUACGUCACAUUUAAUGUUGUUCGUUGCUACACAACAUUGCAAGUCCUGCCUGCGAAUGGUAAGAUUAAUUGUAUUUGAGAGCUAAUAGUGCAAGGGUGUGAAUGCAACAUGAAAAACGUUUUCUCUUGUCCCUGUGACCUUGAAUCAACCUGCAACCUGGCAUCCUGUUCAUUAGUUUAUUAACGAAAAUGCAUCGCUGUCGGUGGUAAUAUGUCAGAACGGCCUCCUUUUGAAACGACACGUGAUGGAAACGCUGGCACCUUGUCAUCCAGGAACGAGAGACCAAAUACAUCGACCGUGUUAAACACUCCCAAGCCAAGUUCCAAACAAGCUAAUUCAUCAGUUGCAAAUGAAGCAUAACAUCACAACGCUUCGGCAAAUGAAUGAAAGAAACGACGGAUUUUUUUUUUAAGUGCAGAAUGUGAUGUGCGCCAAACAUGAAAAAAAACCUAGCUACGGUAGACACUAUCAAAAGAUUGUGAUUGUGUUUGCUAUCAAGAAAUCCAUGCAGCAAUGUAUGGAUCGUAGGAACGAUAAUGAAGAGUUUACUCUGAACAAAAUAUCUACUGCCGAAGAGCUAUCUGUUUUUGAAAAUGCAUUGGCAAGUGAUGAUGAUUUUCAAAAUAUGAAGAAGGGAAUCCAUGCAUCUGUACAUCGGCUCAAUGUUGAAAAUCGCUUGCACGGCACGUUUGAUCUAGUGUUCGAUCGCAAAUUCGUUCCCGAAUGCAGCUGGAAGGGUCUAUCAAGACCAAGCGUAAGAAAAUAGCAAUGGCAGCGCAGACCAAUAUAAUGAAAUUGUUUUAAGAAGUAAGAAGCGAUUAACGACUAAAAACGAUUUUUUUCUCUUAGAGAAAGGCGUGGUUGCAAAUAAACAGAAUUCUUCAUAGUCAUUUGAA